CGGAGGAUCCAAGCGUUAUCCGGAAUCAUUGGGUUUAAAGGGUCCGUAGGCGGUUUAGUAAGUCAGUGGUGAAAGCCCAUCCGCUCAACGGUGGAACGGCCAUUGAUACUGCUAGACUUGAAUUAUUAGGAAGUAACUAGAAUAUGUAGUGUAGCGGUGAAAUGCUUAGAGAUUACAUGGAAUACCAAUUGCGAAGGCAGGUUACUACUAAUGGAUUGACGCUGAUGGACGAAAGCGUGGGUAGCGAACAGGAUUAGAUACCCUGGUAGUCCACGCCGUAAACGAUGGAUACUAGCUGUUGGGAGCAAUCUCAGUGGCUAAGCGAAAGUGAUAAGUAUCCCACCUGGGGAGUACGGGCGCAAGCCUG
rnacentral:rRNA from 1 species